GUGCUUGCUUUGGCAGUACAUAUACUAAAAUUGGAAUGGUAGGAGAAGAUUACCAUGGCCCCUGCUCAAGGAUGGCACAAAAUUUCAUGAAGGUUCCAUAUUUUUU